AGCUCAGUUUUUAAUUGUUUUGGUAGAGCAUAACACUUUUAAUGUUGGGGUCCUGGGUUCGAGUCCCAGCGGGA
rnacentral:tRNA from 1 species